AACAAGGCUCAGCGCGGGAGGGGCCAGAGCUUGGGCAGCUGAGUCAGCCAAGAUGCUCACGUCGCCUCCAUCCUUUCUGGCCUCCGCCUUUGGGCUGCCUCCGCUUCACCGGCUUCCUCGGCAGGUGCUUCUUUCCCCAGGCCCCACUCUUCACCUCCCGAUGGGUCCUUCUUGCCAACUCCUGGAUUCGUUAUGACCCCCACCUAAGUGUUCUCUAAGAUCAAAUCUCGUUGAGGCUUCCCGGCUGCGUACGAAGUGGUUGAGGAACAGCAACCCGCGAUCUAGAGGCCCAAGAAGAGGACAGAGACCAGAGGACAAAAUCGCCACCGGCAGCACGAGGGACUCGCUGAGGCCUUGGGAGGAUCCCGGACGCCCAGUUUCCCAUUCACACUUUAUCCCAACCAAACCCCAGAAAAUGACCCUGGGGCGUGCCAGCGAAGGGAGCUGGGGAAAGGCUGAAACCGCUUGGUGACCUUGUGACCUCUGGCGGAGAACCCAGGAGCUGGGAGUGUAUGAACUCUGCGUCCUUCCUCGGGAUGGGACCCUGGCCGGGAGGGCCCCAGAGCCUUAGACCCGCCCCCGCCGCCACCCUGCCCGGUGCAGGCCGCCAUAAUCAGGUUUCCCGUGUGAACCGAAAUGCCUUCUAAGUCCAGUAAAUGGAUCUCCCUGGGAGCACUGAACUUCCAAUAGAUUCCCCAGGAUCCCCUGGGAAAAACUGGUCCCUCCUUUCUCCCCAGCAGAUGGGCUGGCAGCCUGGCGCCUGAGGCAGGGUGAGCGGGUCUUUUUCCUCCUGGGAAUGAAGAAUGAUAUUUGGGCAUCUGGGCAGGAAGAUUAAAAAAGAGACAAAUGGGUUUUUUCCUCACCCAAAACUACCAACCCCUCGAUGUUCCCAAAAUCCUCAGUCUGAAGGGGUUGGUUGAGCCAUGGGGGGAGGAAGUGGACAUUAAUAAUAUGUGAUAAUCUCCCCAGAGUUGGCCACCUCUAUCAUCCAAUUUCUCCAGCUUGUCCUCAGUCCUGCUCACAGAAACAGACCUUCUGAAACUGGGGGGCUUCUAUCAAUUUGGCAGCUGUGUUUUUAUCUUGGUGUAGGAAAUUUACAUCAUCACCUUCCCUAUCCCUUCCAGAAACUUGCCCUUUUUUAGCAGCUGCUGGAGGCUAUAAGGAAAUGUGUAGUCUCUGCUCUUGAGGCAAAACACUCAGAAAUAGCAUAGGCUAGACUCAACUGAUUGGGAAUAGAGAACCUAGGGAGAUAGCCAGCCAAGAAGUGCGGCCUCUGACAGGGGGCUUGCCUGCAGAUUAGGAGUUUGCCACUCCCUUCCCUGCUCAGGGGGGUGGUUGGGGAGGGAGUGAGUAAUUUCAAGUUGAAUGAAUCUUUUUUAAUAAAUCAAUGGGCAAAUCAAUUAAAGAAAAAAAGAAACAUCAUGCAUAACUGGCUUACUGUACAUCCCUUUCUUUUUGAGGUGAAUAUAGAUGGCACUGCUUCUCACCGAGAGAUUGCUCAGUUGACCCUUUGAGAAGAAUGAUCACAAACUCAAUAGUACAUAUGAAUCUCCUGAGAUUUUUUUUUUUUAUUUCAGUAUCCCACUUCAAGAACAGAGGGCAUCCAGUUCUGUCAGCCACAGAGCUAGGGAAAUUCUCUUCUUGCCUCUACCUCUCUGAUUGUGAUUCUCAGGGAAAGGAUAGUUCCUGCUAGUUCAGGUUGAAGAUUGAGGCACUGGGGUGAGCGCCUCCUAAUACACACCACAUUGGAUGUGUCUUACCAUAUUCUUUGUAUCUGUGCCCCCCAAGUCUUCAGUCUGAGCUUGUAGCCUCAUAGGAAGAAGCCAAACCCUAGCCGCUACUCUUAUUCCCUCCUUCCUGUCAUUAAUCCAUGUCCUUUAUUCAAGAUGGUUCCCACUCCUAAAUCAUUUAUCAGCUUAGUUCUUCCUGGCCCCAACUGACAUCAUAUGAACAUAAUCAUUGCCUGAUUCUCCAAAAAACAAUUAUGUUUUUCUUUUCCUUUUUGCUGUCCAUGUCCACUGCCCCCAUGUCCUCAUCAUUCAUUCUUGUAUUAACACAGUGCAAACUGGCUUCCCUAUAGUGACACUUUCUUUUCUAGUGUCUGGCAUAUCUUUCCAGGCCUUCCCUAACAUGUUUUACUUUGUUGAUCAUCGAUGGUUUUUGAAAUGUCCUUUCUUUUGGCUUCUGUAAUAUUCUAUUAUUUUGUAUUUUGGACUUUGUCACAGCUUACAUCUCUCCUUCACUGACUUUGCUCCUUCUACUGAAGUGUACAAACAUUCUUCAGAGCACAGACUUGAGCUUUCUUCCUUUCUUUUUCCUUUUUGUUUUCAUACUGAGGAUUGAAGCCAGGGCCAUGAACAUAAUAGGCAAGAGCUCCAACACUGAGCGACAUCCCCAGCUGCCCCCCCUUUUAUUAUAUUUUGUUUUUGAUGUUGAUGGACCUUUAUUUUAUUCAUACACGCACACACACUGUUGAGAAUCAAACCCAGUGCCUCACACAUGCUAGGCAAGUGGUCUACCACUGAGCCACAACUCCAGGCCCCCAUUUUUGCUGUCCCCCUUUUAAAUGUUUUUAUUUUGAGGGGGUCUCACUAAAUUGUGGAAGUUGGCAUCAAACUGGGGAUCCUCCUGCCUCAGCUUCCUUAGUAUCUGAGAUUAAAGUGCGUGUCACCAUACUCAGCAACUUCAGCUUUCAUUAUUUCUACAUCUGCUCAGGUUUCAUCCAUUCCAGUAUUCCCAACUCUCACAUCUACCGAGACAACUCUGGGACAUGAUACUUUAGCCCCACCACUCCUUUCUGUCUGACCAGCUCACUUUGCCAUUCCUGAAACUACUGUAAGACAUGCCUACCUCCCAAAUUCCUCAUUCACCCUCUUGCCCAAGCCCCACAAAUCCAGUCCCUGGCUAAUUUCUUCUAUUAACUUUCCUUUGGAGAAUUUCAGAUACAACCCUUUCCAUCUACAUUGCUAAAACCCUAAUCUAAGCUGCCAACACUGCCACCUGGACUUACUUAUUUGUUCAUCCAGAAAUUUUUUUAUUGAAUAUCCACUAUGUGCCUGGCAUUAGAGAUAAAGCUGUGAACACAAUGGAUAGUGGUGGAUUUGCCUCUGAAAGCUUUCAUUCUAGUGGAAAAUGCAAAUGAAAAAUUAACCAAGUAUGUAUUAGCAAUAUGUAAAAGAAAAACAUAUUAAAUAAUAAUAAACACUAAUAAUGCUAAUAAAUGCUAAGAAGAAAAAUAGAGCAAGGAAGUGAAGGGGGAUAGAUAGUGAUCACAGAAGCUUCAUGGAGGGAAAAUUGUAAAGGAAGGAGCCAUUUGGAUACCCAGAAUUUCAAGUUGGAACUCAGCAUACCCUGGUGUGACUGUGGAGUAAAUACUGAAGGGUUCUUUGUGACUGGAGAGACUAUGCAGGGCCUUGCAGACCUUUAUAAGACCUUUGGCUUUUAUUAUGAUUGAAAAGGGAAGCUAUAAUAAGGUUUGUUUCUGGUGUUUGUUUACAAGUUUUGGAGAUGAACCAGGGCCUCUACCACUACUUACCAAAGUUUUUAAACAGAAAAAAAAACUUGAUUUUUCAAUUUUAUUUUUAACAGCUUUUUGAGGUACAAAUGACAAACUGCAGAUAUUUGAAGUGUACAAUUUAAUGUCUUGACAUCUAUAUACCCAUGAAAUUAUCAUCACAAU